rnacentral:ncRNA from 1 species
GAGAACGAUGAUCCGGGAGGUUGCACGGAACACGGGAGCUCAUGCUGCUGAGACCGUGGGAAUUUCCGGGGAGCGAAUGUCCAGUUCACGAAACUGACGGCAA